GUGGGUUGGUGGGUUGGUGGGGGGGAGGUUGGCCUGACUCUACUGCACUCAGACAAACUCACAUCUCACCAUGAAAAGGCAAGCCAUUCAUCUGGUCUUGUUUCCAUGGCAACUGUCAUGAGGGUUCAUCAUCAGGAAAGAAGGAAAACAGAGAUGGUUGUGAAACCGCUGAGAAUGUGAGAGCAUUGGAUUAUGAGAAAUGUUUCAAUUGAGAUGUCUAUAUUUUCUUUUUUCCAAGAAGAGGAUAUUCCAUUCUAUUUUGAAAUAUAUAUAUAAAUAUAUAUUUGUUUUUUUCUUUUCUUUUUUUCUUUUUUAUUUUAUCACACUAAAGCCUGGUUAGUGGUGGUAUCUUUUAGUGAGUGAAUAUCUCAAAAACACUAAGAGCUGACAUUCAAACAUAUCAGUGGCACGCUGGAAAGCGAAGCAUUUCCACAAGUUGAACAUUGACUGGCUCUGAUGAUGAGUGAGAACACCUUUUGUAGGGUUUUACAUAUUUUUAUACAUCUCUAUUCCUGUCCGUGUUAGUGCGUCUACUUUAUUUCUCAAAAGACUGACUCCCAUAUGUAAGAGCAUGUGAAUUCAAAGUAUGGAUGAAAAAAUGUCUAUUUUGGAACUUUUUCCACCAACAGUUUGAAUGAACAUGUAUAUACAGAGGAAGACUUCUGAAAAAACAGGCAGAUCAAUGACCCUCCACGUCUCUUUGAGAGCUGUUGAGCAAAUUGUAUUGUUGUAGGUAGUGUUAUCAAUAUUGUAUAAUAUGUUGUUUACAGUAUUAGAAUGAUAGAUGGUAUGCACUCCAUUUGCUUAUGUAUGUGUGCUAUAGCUUUUCUUUUGUUGUUUGUUUGUUUGUUUGUUUGUUUCUUUUGUUCCAUUCUGCUUAGUUUUUGCCCUUACAGUGAUUGCAGUAUAGAACAAGAAAUAUCUAACCUCCCUAAAUGAAUGUUCCACAGAUUAGCCAAAUAAUUAGGCUAAAUUUAACAAGAUCUGAUGAGUUUGGGAGUGCAAUCCUGAGAUAAUGUGAUCGAUGCAGCGGAGAGACAUACAUACUUUGGUAAGAAAACCACAAAACAGUUAUAUGUGAAUAAAUUGAUUAGUCAAACACUCAAUCUAUAUUUGUGAACCAUUUCUAACCAUCAUAAAGGACAUAAUCAAUACUCAAUUACCCUUAACACAACUUAUUUCAUAAACAAUUCUUAAAGAUAAUUCCCCAUCCAGGUGUGUUGGCAUGAGAUCCGAUGCAAGUGUCUAAUUUAAGACUGUAUUAAUUAGAAUAAAUUCUAAUUAAUAGUAUAAAUUGUAUUAAUUAUUUCUCUCCGCUGUUCGCUGCUUGUCUUCUAUUUUAUGAACCGGAAACAAGUUCUUGAAGACCGCAGAGGAAAAACUGUACAUGAGGUUCUUCCAGUGUUCAAGACGGUCUGGUGUUGACUUGGAAUACACAGUGAUCAUAUCAAUUGAUGGCGCUGAUAUCUAACCCCAGCUGCCUCAAAGGGGUCAUGCAGGUUUUGAUGGUCAUUCUCCUUGACAGGCGCAUGACCCAAGUUUCCAAAUAAAGGUUACAUCUUUAAAACUGCUGAA